GACGAACGCUGGCGGCGUGCUUAACACAUGCAAGUCGAGCGGUAAGGCCCUUUCGGGGGUACGACGAGCGGCGAACGGGUGAGUAACACGUGGGUGACCUGCCCUUAGCUCUGGGAUAAAGCCUGGGAAACUGGGUCUAAUACCGGAUAUGACUCCAUGACGCAUGUUGUGGGGUGGAAAGCCUUGUGCGGCUAGGGAUGGGCCUGCGGCCUAUCAGCUUGUUGGUGGGGUGAUGGCCUACCAAGGCGACGACGGGUAGCCGGCCUGAGAGGGCGACCGGCCACACUGGGACUGAGACACGGCCCAGACUCCUACGGGAGGCAGCAGUGGGGAAUCUUGCGC
rnacentral:rRNA from 1 species